rnacentral:rRNA from 1 species
UUCCGGUUGAUCCUGCCGGACCUGACUGCUAUCGGAUUGAUACUAAGCCAUGCGAGUCUUUGUAGCAAUACAAGGCAGACGGCUCAGUAACACGUAGUCAAUCUAACCUAUGGACGAGGAUAACCUCGGGAAACUGAGAAUAAUACUCGAUAGAUCAUUAUGCCUGGAAUGGUUUAUGGUCCAAAUGAAUUUCGCCAUAGGGUGGGACUGCGGUCUAUCAGCUUGUUGGUGAGGUAAUGGCCCACCAAGGCUAUAACAGAUACGGGCUCUGAGAGGAGAGGCCCGGAGAUGGGUACUGAGACACGGACCCAGGCCCUAUGGGGCGCAGCAGGCGAGAAAACUUUGCAAUGUGCGAAAGCACGACAAGGUUAAUCCGAGUGGUUCCUGCUAAAGGAAUCUUUUGUUAGUCGUAACACCACUGAUGAAUAAGGGGUGGGCAAGUUCUGGUGUCAGCCGCCGCGGUAAAACCAGCACCUCAAGUGGUCAGGAGGAUUAUUGGGCCUAAAGCAUCCGUAGCCUGCUUUGUAAGUUUUCGGUUAAAUCUAUACGCUCAACGUAUGGGCUGCCGGGAAUACUGCAAAGCUAGGGAGUGGGAGAGGUAGACGGUACUCCGUAGGAAGGGGUAAAAUCCUUUGAUCUAUGGAUGACCACCUGUGGCGAAGGCGGUCUACCAGAACACGUCCGACGGUGAGGGAUGAAAGCUGGGGGAGCAAACCGGAUUAGAUACCCGGGUAGUCCCAGCUGUAAACAAUGCAAACUCAGUGAUGCAUUGGCUUGUGGCCAGUGCAGUGCCGCAGGGAAGCCGUUAAGUUUGCCGCCUGGGAAGUACGUACGCAAGUAUGAAACUUAAAGGAAUUGGCGGGGGAGCACCACAAGGGGUGAAGCCUGCGGUUCAAUUGGACUCAACGCCGGA